UGUAUGUUAUACACAGCAGUGGUCAUGCUUUUCUAUGUAUGUCCUUGUGAAGUUUGUAUGUCCUUGUCAAUGAUUGUCCUAACUUUGUUUGUCCUUUGUUGUUCUUUGUUGUCCGUCAGGCCUCAACGAAAAAGACCACCUUCAGCAUUCACUCCGCAUUAGUCUGCAUUAGCACACUGCAGAGUCAGGUGUCUUGUCCUACUAACACCCCACUCGUGGCCUGCACCUUGAUGUGGUUGACAGGCCUCAAUGGACAGUGAGACGGUGAUUUACCUUUGGACUGGCACCGACCAGACAUGGACACUGAAACUUAAUUUCUCAUGAAUAUCUUUACAAGAUGCAACACACAUUGUGGAACACUUUAGACACUAAUAAACAUGUCCACUGUUUUCUCUGGAA